UUCCACUCUAUGGAGCCCCGAGGACAAAGUUCCCAACAAUCAGCUUCAGCGAGAUACAUUCAUAUACGUAGCUAGGCAUGGGAGGCUUCGGGAACACAGCCGCAUCGUAUGUUGAGGCUUUCCUCCCAAACGGGGGAGCGCUGUCACCGGCUUGCUGUGCCCGUUCGAUGACCAGUGUCGACUGCUCGUACGCACCGCACCAUCCUAGCACCGUGAACUUUUGAAUCCAUCAAAAUCAUGUUCGCUGCAUCGCAGGUAGGAAAUGAUAGACCACGAACGUUUCUUUUGUACUUAGUACCACCUUUGUUUCUGUU
rnacentral:lncRNA from 1 species